AUACCUAUUAACCUUACACAAUACAUAAAUGAAUAAACUGAGACUGUCUAAGUUAAAAUAUUACGACCGUCACAUAUACGGAUAUAAAUCAGUCAAAUUAUGCUCAUUUUUACCGUUCAAAAACAGUCAAAUCUUCUUGAUUCAAGCCAGCCAACAGAGCAAUACAAAAUCGACAAUAAUAACAAGUUUUCGCGAUCCAAAAGCGUCCAAAACAGUGUACAAAACGACCAAUUUCCUUUUAAACAACUCAGUUCUCUCAAAACGUCACGACAACGUUUGUUCUUGAGCCCGCAGUAUAAUAAACGCAUACUUCAUGUAAAGUUUCUCAACGCCCGUCCAUCACUCCUCCCCAUCGUUCGUCUCGAUUUCAUUGGGGCGACGAUCGUAUCCGCAUUCCUCUUCGAGAAGACAUAAUUUCGUAACUGGUCUGGUAUAAACACCAUUGUUAGUCUUCACUUUAGCAGCUCGAACUCGUCCGUCUUUUCCAGGACAUGUUUCAACAACUCGUCCUAACUUCCACUCACCACGUAGAAGACCCGGAUCUGCUAUGAGAACAACGUCGUUAACUGAAAUGUUCCUUUCCUCGUUCCGCCACUUCUUCCGGGAGAUGAGAUUAGGCAGGUAGAGCUUCACCCACUGCUGCCACACGACAUUUGCUAAGUGCUGGGUCUGUUUGAAACGACCUUGAAAGUUUGGUCGGCUGUACUCUCCGAGUGGGACAACUGGCGAGCGUCGGUGUAACCAAAAGUGGUAGGGUGUCAGAGCCUCUAUGUCCUCAGGAUCGCUGCUGACGUAUGUUAUCGGUCGUGAAUUGACGAAUCGCUCGACUUCGGCAAAGAGAGCGGACAACUGCAAAUCUGUAGGGUUACUUCUCUUUGGUCCUCCUUUUGGAUUCAGGGUACGGUUAAGUGCUGUCUUGACUGACUUAACUAAGCUCUCGUGUACUCCUCCCCAGUGAGGGCUUGCAGGGGGUUGGAACUUCCAGGUGAUUCCUUCUCCAAUUCUAGCUAGGCGGGUUUGAAGUUCUUCACUAUGAUUUAGUUCUCUAACCAUCGACUUCAAUUCAGAGACUGCGCCGACGAAGUUCGUCCCGUUGUCACUGUAGAUAGAUCUUGGCUCUCCACGCCUCGCCAUCAUCUUGUGAAGAGCUUGUAGGAAGUCAGGGGUGGAUAACGAUUCAGCAACUUCCAAAUGAACACAUCGAGUCGUCAUGCAUGUAAACAGGGCGCCGUAUCUCUUCGCUUUCGUGUUUCGAGUCAACUUGACUUCGAUUGGCCCGAAGUAAUCCACAGAAGUGUGGUAAAAUGCUGGUUGCAUGGCAGUUAUUCUUUCGAUAGGAAGUUCACUUAGUAACUGACUGCCAGGCUUCGCUCGUUCUUUCUUACACUGGGUGCACUUUCUCUUGAAACUCUUGACUUCCUGUCGUCCGCGAAUUAUCCAGAACUUUUGACGAAUUGCGGCCAAAACGUGGUCAGU